rnacentral:tRNA from 1 species
GGCGGUGUAGCUCAGUUGGUUAGAGCGCAGGACUCAUAAGCCUGAGGUCACAGGUUCGAUCCCAGUCACCGCUACCA